rnacentral:rRNA from 1 species
GACAGAGGGUGCAAACGUUGCUCGGAAUUACUGGGCGUAAAGCGCGUGUAGGUGGAUUGGUGUGUCAGAUGUGAAAUCCCUGGGCUCAACCCAGGAACUGCACCUGAAACUACCAGUCUUGAGUGAUGGAGAGGGAAGUGGAAUUCCUGGUGUAGAGGUGAAAUUCGUAGAUAUCAGGAGGAACACCAGUGGCGAAGGCGGGUCUCUGGACAGUUCCUGACGCUGAGGCACGAAGGCCAGGGGAGCAAACGGG